rnacentral:rRNA from 1 species
AUUGAACGCUGGCGGCAUGCCUUACACAUGCAAGUCGAACGGCAGCACGGGGCAACCCUGGUGCGAGUGGCGAACGGGUGAGUAACGCAUCGGAACGUGCCCAGUAGUGGGGAUAACUAGUCGAAAGAUUAGCUAAUACCGCAUACGACCUAUGGGUGAAAGCGGGGACCUUUACGGCCUCGCGCUAUCGGAGCGGCCGAUGUCUGAUUAGCUAGUUGGCGGGGUAAAANCCCACCAAGGCGACGAUCAGUAGCUGGUCUGAGAGGACGACCAGCCACACUGGACUGAGACACGGCCCAGACUCCUACGGGAGGCAGCAGU